AGUGAACGCUGGCGGCGUAGAUUACACAUGCAAGUCGAACGGCAGCGCGGGGCAACCUGGCGGCGAGUGGCGAACGGGUGAGUAAUACAUCGGAACGUACCCAGAAGUGGGGGAUAACGUAGCGAAAGUUACGCUAAUACCGCAUACGUUCUACGGAAGAAAGUGGGGGACCGCAAGGCCUCAUGCUUUUGGAGCGGCCGAUGUCUGAUUAGCUAGUUGGUGAGGUAAAGGCUCACCAAGGCGACGAUCAGUAGCUGGUCUGAGAGGACGACCAGCCACACUGGGACUGAGACACGGCCCAGACUCCUACGGGAGGCAGCAGUGGGGAAUUUUGGACAAUGGGGGCAACCCUGAUCCAGCAAUGCCGCGUGAGUGAAGAAGGCCUUCGGGUUGUAAAGCUCUUUUGUCAGGGAAGAAAUCGCAGAGGCUAAUAUCCUGUGCGGAUGACGGUACCUGAAGAAUAAGCACCGGCUAACUACGUGCCAGCCGCCGCCGUAAAAC
rnacentral:rRNA from 1 species